rnacentral:rRNA from 1 species
UGCCAGCCUCCGCGGUACUACCUGCUCCUCAAGUGGUAGUCGCUUUUAUUGGGCCUAAAACGUCCGUAGCCGGUCUGAUACAUUCGUGGGUAAAUCAACCAGCUCAACUGGUUGAAUUCUGCGAGGACGGUCAGACUUGGGACCGGGAGAGGUGUGGGGUACGCUCAGGGUAGGGGUAAAAUCCUGUCAUCCUGAGCGGACCACCUGUUGCGAAGGCGCCACACUAGAACGGAUCCGACGGUCAGUGACGAAGCCUAGGGGCACGAACCGGAUUAGAUA